rnacentral:rRNA from 1 species
CCUACGGGAGGCAGCAGUGGGGAAUUUUGGACAAUGGACGAAAGUCUGAUCCAGCCAUGCCGCGUGCGGGAAGAAGGCCUUCGGGUUGUAAACCGCUUUUGUCAGGGAAGAAAUCCUUUGAGCUAAUAUUUCGGAGGGAUGACGGUACCUGAAGAAUAAGCACCGGCUAACUACGUGCCAGCAGCCGCGGUAAUACGUAGGGUGCAAGCGUUAAUCGGAAUUACUGGGCGUAAAGCGUGCGCAGGCGGUUCUAUAAGACAGAUGUGAAAUCCCCGGGCUCAACCUGGGAACUGCAUUUGUGACUGUAGAGCUGGAGUACGGUAGAGGGGGAUGGAAUUCCGCGUGUAGCAGUGAAAUGCGUAGAUAUGCGGAGGAACACCGAUGGCGAAGGCAAUCCCCUGGACCUGUACUGACGCUCAUGCACGAAAGCGUGGGGAGCAAACAGGAUUAGAUACCCUGGUAGUCCACGCCCUAAACCGAUGUCAACUGGUUGUUGGGAAGGUUCCUUCUCAGUAACGUAGCUAACGCGUGAAGUUGACCGCCUGGGGGAGGUACGGCCGCGAGUAGAACGUACGAAUAGAAGUUAGUACGGCGUGAGACGUGACCGACGGACGACGACGAGGGAGGUUAGG